rnacentral:rRNA from 1 species
GACGAACGCUGGCGGCGUGCUUAACACAUGCAAGUCGAACGGAAAGGCCCUGCUUUUGUGGGGUGCUCGAGUGGCGAAAGGGUGAGUAACACGUGAGUAACCUUCCCUUGACUUAGGGAUAACUUCAGGAAACUGGGGCUAAUACCGGAUAGGAGCUCCUGCUGCAUGGUGGGGGGUGGAAAGUUUCGGCGGUUGGGGAUGGACUCGCGGCUUAUCAGCUUGUUGGUGGGGUAGUGGCUUACCAAGGCUUUGACGGGUAGCCGGCCUGAGAGGGUGACCGGCCACAUUGGGACUGAGAUACGGCCCAGACUCCUACGGGAGGCAGCAGUGGGGAAUAUUGCACAAUGGGCGGAAGCCUGAUGCAGCAACGCCGCGUGCGGGAUGACGGCCUUCGGGUUGUAAACCGCUUUCGCCUGUGACGAAGCGUGAGUGACGGUAAUGGGUAAAGAAGCACCGGCUAACUACGUG